AACGGCCCAAGCAGGGGGCCGGCGGCUAACCGCUCAGGGCCUCCCCUACUCCCAGGCCCCACGAGGGGAUGGCCCGCCUCCCUACUUCCCCUUUUCUGGGCUCAGUUCCUGGAGAGGGAGGUGAAGGGGAGCAGCCCCAGGGCACAGGGAAGGAGCACGUUCCCACAGGCCCGGCGCCCGGUCCAGCAGCAGGAGUUUGAAUGGGGGAAGGGAGCAGGGCUCACCUGUCCAACCUGGCCUCCUAGACCUACUCUCUUCACACUGCCAACCUUGCUUCAACCUGGCGCCCGCUGAGCCUCUGGUCCUCUACACCCCAACCCAGCCGUAGGACCAGCCCCCUCUCUCCCAGCCCCUUCCUCUCUCUACUUCCACCUCCAGUUCCUCCCCAUAACUCCACAAGGCCCUCCCCAGUCCUCUCAAGGACCCUGGGGUCCAGACUCCGAGGUCCUGGUUCCCCUGGGCUCCCUGCUCAAAGCCCGGGAGUCCUCUUCAGGGCAGCCAGCUCUGCCCUGGUGGGGUCGGAGGGUCUGACCGCUGGCAAGGAUAGGCCCGGACAAGGGUUUUGCACUCCGGGGAGAACCAGAAUACCAGUUUCCUAGUUGCUCGUCUCAGGACUUAAUGAAGGUCAGGUUCUUUAUGUCUUGGCACAAAAGGAAUUCAGCGAGAGGCAAAGUGAUAGGUUUUUGGACUCUGCUGUGAAGACUGGUUUGCUGAUAUGCCAGAGGCAAGAUGGUAAGAAGCCCAGCUUUGCUCACCAACUUCUGCAUCACAUCCGGUGAGGGGCGUUGGAGUCUCUCCCCAAGGUGGGGUUUGGGAGGCUUCUAAUCUCCAAGACAAAACCAGUCUUGAUCUGGCCUUACCUGGGGGCAGUUGUUGAAGUUCUGAAAAUACCCAGUACAGAGCACCUGGGUACAGUUCUCAUGGAUGCUGGCAGCCAAUACCAUCCAAGAGGCUGCUCUUGAGAAGGCCCAGCUCUCCACAUGUCCUGGAGAAACUGGAUCCCCUCUUUUUCCUCUGAGUCCCCAGAGGUCCAAGCGCCAUCCAAGAGGUAGGUUACUGCCUGCCUCUUCAUCCUUCCCUAUCAGACCAGACAUCCAGCACCUUCCAAAACCAAGGCCUACGUUGGUGUGGGCUUCCUAUAAACCCCCACCCAGUCUGAUUCUUACCUUUCUUUCUAAAACACACAAAGAAGCCAAACCGCUCAAGGGUCAGGAAACCCACAACUUCAAGGACACAAAGUCCUGACUACGCAGAAGAGGAAGAGAAG